AUUGAACGCUGGCGGCAUGCCUUACACAUGCAAGUCGAACGGCAGCACGGGAGCAAUCCUGGUGGCGAGUGGCGAACGGGUGAGUAAUGUAUCGGAACGUACCUUUCAGUGGGGGAUAACGUAGCGAAAGUUACGCUAAUACCGCAUAUUCUGUGAGCAGGAAAGCAGGGGAUCGCAAGACCUUGCGCUGAUUGAGCGGCCGAUAUCAGAUUAGCUAGUUGGUGAGGUAAAGGCUCACCAAGGCGACGAUCUGUAGCGGGUCUGAGAGGAUGAUCCGCCACACUGGAACUGAGACACGGUCCAGACUCCUACGGGAGGCAACAGUGGGGAAUUUUGGACAAUGGGCGCAAGCCUGAUCCAGCCAUGCCGCGUGAGUGAAGAAGGCCUCGG
rnacentral:rRNA from 1 species